UUUUAUUUCACAUUUAAACAAAAUCUACUUUGCAAAUGUAUUAAAUGUUCUAACAGCCCAGAUAGGGACACUUGUCAUUGCAACAUGUUAAAUUAAGUUCUUGCUUUUAGGUUUUAAAGGGAUACUCCGGUAACCAUAACUAUUUCAACUCAAUGAAGUGUUAUGGUAUGAAUCAGUCCUAGAUGCCAUAUUCUGGCAAUAACAAUUUUUCAUAUGUUUUAAACCCAUAGUGCUGUUCACAAUCCCUGGCCUCUCUGCCAUCUCCUUGGACCCAGAUUCAAAGCAGAAGUUUUCCCUUUCAGCUAAUGCUCUCAGCCUACCACUGGGCUCCCAGUGAGAGAAAUUCUUUAGAAAGUACAUACAAUGAUGUAGGAGACAUUGUGGCAACAGAUUUAAAAAAAACAAAAAAAACUGCAUAACCAAAUACAAAAGAUUUGCAGUUCCCUGUUAGCUAGGUAAGGCAUAUCCUAAAAUUGUGGUUUGUCUUUUAUAUGUAUUUUUCUAUGGUUUCUAUAAGUAGGGGUUUAAACCCACAGGAACUAGAACACCUGAAUCGGGGAAGUAUGAGUGGUAGCAAGUUUAAAAAUGUUACUCCGUACAUUGUCUGCUGUAUAUAUGCAGGCCUGGAGAAGUAUAUACCUCUGUGGCAGAUUGGAACAAGUGGCUUCUCUGGAAGCUCAAAUUGGAGAUCAGGAAAAGCAAAUUGAAAUGCCUAGACUGUCUACCAUAUCUAUCUGUCAAGGUUGUCAGUCAAAGAGGAGGAAAGGUGUAGCGAGUCCUGACUUUGUAUACUCCAGCAGAUUUUCCCAUUAGAGCGAACAUUUUGGGAGUAUCUGCUCAGAAAGAACAGCUUCCUCGAGCUCAGUCAGUCCGAACAGCUGAGGGAACAGCUCCUCUUUUAUAGACUGGAUCCAGAAUGGAAGAAAGUCAAUGCAAGUUUUAGUAGUAAGCAAAUCUGUUAAGAGAGACAGGGUAAUCAUGUCAGCUAGAUAGUUUGCUGUCUCCCGAGUGCUUGUGUUCUUCAUGGUGCUGACAGAGUGAAUAGAUUAUUGGGAGGGGCUGGGGAUGGCCUGACUAUCAUAGUCCAUGUUUGCGCCAAUUACAAAGUUAUAGGAAGAUGGAGGGCCCUUAAGAAUGUUUCAUAUGAACUGAAGCAAUAACUAUGGCUGUAGAUUUGCAAAUACUUCUUACAAAAGCCUUGCAACAAACCGGUAAUUUGGUAAACACAGGUUAAAGUGCUACAGCAAUUAAAUAAACAAUGCUAACAAAGCCUGUGAGCCAGAUGAUAUUCACCUAUGAUUACUUAAGGAGCUAAAUGUAGAAAUAUCCAUACCAUUGUUAUUAAAUCUUUCAAGAUUCUUUUCAUACAUGAAUCAUAGCAGAGGAUUGGAUAAAGGGAAAUACAGUGCCUUUAUUUAAAGAGUUUGAAAGCUCAACCCUCAAACUACAGACAUGAGUUUAAAUACAAAUAAUUGAAAGUAGGAUAAGUGCAAAAAGGCAACUGUUUGUAGAAUUGUAAGCAGACUGCAAAUACUGGUAGUAAAGGAUACCCUUGUCCUGUUACUGAUUAAUUUAGAGCAAGAUAAUACAAAAUCUAUGUACAGGUUGUGCCAAAAUAAAAAGUCCAAUAGAAUAUCAGAUGCUUGGAGUAGGGAUCGACCGAUUAUGGGU
rnacentral:lncRNA from 1 species